rnacentral:rRNA from 1 species
GGGGGGCACAGUAGGGAAUCUUCCACAAUGGGCGCAAGCCUGAUGGAGCAACACCGCGUGAGUGAAGAAGGGUUUCGGCUCGUAAAGCUCUGUUGUUGGAGAAGAACGUGCGUGAGAGUAACUGUUCACGCAGUGACGGUAUCCAACCAGAAAGUCACGGCUAACUACGUGCCAGCAGCCGCGGUAAUACGUAGGUGGCAAGCGUUAUCCGGAUUUAUUGGGCGUAAAGCGAGCGCAGGCGGUUGCUUAGGUCUGAUGUGAAAGCCUUCGGCUUAACCGAAGAAGGGCAUCGGAAACCGGGCGACUUGAGUGCAGAAGAGGACAGUGGAACUCCAUGUGUAGCGGUGGAAUGCGUAGAUAUAUGGAAGAACACCAGUGGCGAAGGCGGCUGUCUGGUCUGCAACUGACGCUGAGGCUCGAAAGCAUGGGUAGCGAACAGGAUUAGAUACCCUGGUAGUCCAUGCCGUAAACGAUGAGUGCUAGGUGUUGGAGGGUUUCCGCCCUUCAGUGCCGGAGCUAACGCAUUAAGCACUCCGCUGGGAGUA